UACGUAGGGGGCUAGCGUUGUCCGGAAUCAUUGGGCGUAAAGAGCGUGUAGGCGGUCCGGUAAGUCCGCUGUGAAAGUCGGGGGCUCAACCCUCGAAUGCCGGUGGAUACUGUCGGGCUAGAGUGCGGAAGAGGCGAGUGGAAUUCCUGGUGUAGCGGUGAAAUGCGCAGAUAUCAGGAGGAACAUCCGUGGCGAAGGCGGCUCUCUGGGACGGUACUGACGCUGAGACGCGAAAGCGUGGGGAGCGAACAGG
rnacentral:rRNA from 1 species